UACAGAGGGGGCAAGCGUUGUUCGGAAUUACUGGGCGUAAAGCGUGCGCAGGCGGCUUUGCAAGACAGAUGUGAAAUCCCCGGGCUUAACCUGGGAACUGCAUUUGUGACUGCAUGGCUAGAGUGCGGCAGAGGGGGAUGGAAUUCCGCGUGUAGCAGUGAAAUGCGUAGAUAUGCGGAGGAACACCGAUGGCGAAGGCAAUCCCCUGGGCCUGCACUGACGCUCAUGCACGAAAGCGUGGGGAGCAAACAGG
rnacentral:rRNA from 1 species